CCUACGGGUGGCAGCAGUGAGGAAUAUUGGGCAAUGGAGGCAACUCUGACCCAGCCAUGCCGCGUGCGUGAAGAAGGCUUUCGGAUUGUAAAGCUCUUUCUGAUGUGACGAUGAUGACGGUAGCAUCUAAAGAAGCUCCGGCCAACUUCGUGCCAGCAGCCGCGGUAAUACGAAGGGGGCGAGCGUUGUUCGGAAUUACUGGGCGUAAAGGGAGUGUAGGCGGUUUAGUAAGAUAGUGGUGAAAUCCCAGGGCUUAACUUUGGAAUUGCAAUUAUAACUAUUAGACUAGAAUUACAGAGAGGAUAGUGGAAUACCCGGUGUAGAGGUGAAAUGCGUAGAUAUUGGGUAGAACACCAGUGGCGAAGGCGACUAUCUGGAUGUACAUUGACGCUGAGGCUCGAAAGCGUGGGGAUCAAACAGGAUUAGAUACCCGAGUAGUC
rnacentral:rRNA from 1 species